rnacentral:rRNA from 1 species
AGCAGCCGCGGUAAUUCCAGCUCCAAUAGCGUAUAUUAAAGUUGUUGCAGUUAAAAAGCCCGUAGUUGAAUUUCGGGGUCAGUAGGUUGGUCAUGCCUCUGGUAUGUACUGGUCUCACUGAUUCCUCCUUCCUGAUGAGCCGUAAUGCCAUUAAUUUGGUGUUGCGGGGAAUUUGGACUGUUACUUUGAAAAAAUUAGAGUGUUUAAAGCAAGCUAACGCUUGAAUACAUUAGCAUGGAAUAAUGAAAUAGGACGUUCGAUCCUAUUUUGUUGGUUUCCAGGAUUGACGUAAUGAUUAAUAGGGAUAGUUGGGGGCAUCAGUAUUCAAUUGUCAGAGUGAAAUUCUUGGAUUUAUUGAAGACUAACUAACU